rnacentral:rRNA from 1 species
GACAGAGGUGCCAAGCGUUAGGCGGAAUCACUGGGCUUAAAGCGUGUGUAGGUGGAUUUGUAAGUACCUUGUGAAAUCCCAUGGCUCAACCAUGGAACUGCUCGGUAUACUGCGAAUCUUGAGCCACUUAGGGGCUACCGGAACAAAUGGUGGAGCGGUGAAAUGCGUAGAUAUCAGUUGGAACGCCAAUGGUGAAAACAGGUAGCUGGGAGUGUGCUGACACUGAGACACGAAAGCGAGGGGAGCGAACGGG